rnacentral:snRNA from 1 species
AUACUUACCUGGACGGGGUCAAUGGGUGAUCAAUAAGAUCCAUGGCCUAGGUUGGUGACCUUCAUUGCACUUUGGAGGGGUGCCCACCUAAGGUCGGCCCAAGUGGUCGAGCCUACGUCAUAAUUUGUGGUAGAGGGGGCCUGCGUUCGCGCGGCCCCUG